AUCCCCUAGUAACUGCGAGUGAAGCGGGAAAAGCUCAAAUUUAAAAUCUGACAGUCUUUGGCUGUCCGAGUUGUAAUCUAGAGAAGCAUUAUCCGCGUUGGACCGUGUACAAGUCUCCUGGAAUGGAGCGUCAUAGAGGGUGAGAAUCCCGUCUUUGACACGGACUGCCAGGGCUUUGUGAUGUGCUCUCAAAGAGUCGAGUUGUUUGGGAAUGCAGCUCAAAAUGGGUGGUAAAUUCCAUCUAAAGCUAAAUAUUGGCGAGAGACCGAUAGCGAACAAGUACCGUGAGGGAAAGAUGAAAAGAACUUUGGAAAGAGAGUUAAACAGUACGUGAAAUUGCUGAAAGGGAAACGCUUGAAGUCAGUCGCGUUGGCCAGGGAUCAACCUUGCUUUUGCUUGGUGUACUUUCUGGUUGACGGGUCAGCAUCAAUUUUGACUGUUGGAAAAAAGUCAAGGGAAUGUGGCAUCUUCGGAUGUGUUAUAGCCCUUGGUUGCAUACAAUGGUUGGGAUUGAGGAACUCAGCACGCCGCAAGGCCGGGUGAAAACCACGUACGUGCUUAGGAUGCUGGCAUAAUGGCUUUAAUCGACCCGUCUUGAAACACGGACCAAGGAGUCUAACAUGCCUGCGAGUGUUUGGGUGGAAAACUCGAGCGCGAAAUGAAAGUGAAAGUUGAGAUCCCUGUCAUGGGGAGCAUCGACGCCCGGACCAGACCUUUUGUGACGGAUCCGCGGUAGAGCAUGUAUGUUGGGACCCGAAAGAUGGUGAACUAUGCCUGAAUAGGGUGAAGCCAGAGGAAACUCUGGUGGAGGCUCGUAGCGAUUCUGACGUGCAAAUCGAUCGUCAAAUUUGGGUAUAGGGGCGAAAG
rnacentral:rRNA from 1 species